ensembl:lncRNA
GUUUUUUUUAUUUAAUGAAGUUGCUACAACCAUGAAAUACAGCAACAUAUAGAUCAGGCUGGUGUAGUACAGAAAACAGUUCCACGUACCAACUAUACAGAGCAGGGUCAUGCACAGCAGUUGGAUUCUAAUCAAAUCAAACUUUAUUAGUCACAUGACCCCGAAUACAAAAAAAAAGUGUAGACCUCACAGUGGAAUGCUGACUUAUGAGCCCCUAACCAAUAGGUGUAGACCUCACAGUGGAAUGCUGACUUAUGAGCCCCUAACCAAUAGGUGUAGACCUCACAGUGGAAUGCUGACUUAUGAGCCCCUAACCAAUAGGUGUAGACCUCACAGUGGAAUGCUGACUUAUGAGCCCCUAACCAAUAGGUGUAGACCUCACAGUGGAAUGCUGACUUAUGAGCCCCUAACCAACAACGUAGUUGUAUAUGGAUAAGAAUAAGCAAUAAAAGUAACCCCAUAUUCAAGUAACCUAAUUAAAGAGCAGCAGUAAACUAACAAUAGUGAGACUAUAUACAGGGGGUAACGGUACAGAGUCAAUGUGGAGGCUAUAUACAGGGUGUUACGGUACAGAGUCAAUGUGGAGGCUAUAUACAGGGUAUUACGGUACAGAGUCAAUGUGGAGGCUAUAUACAGGGGGAACCGGUACAGAGUCAAUGUGGAGGCUAUAUACAGGGGGUACCGGUACAGAGUCAAUGUGGAGGCUAUAUACAGGGGGCACCGGUACAGAGUCAAUGUGCCGGGGCACCGGUUAGUUGAGGUAAUAUGUACAUAGAGUUAUUAAAGUGACAAUGCAUAGAUGAUAACAACAGAGAGUAACAGUGGUGUAAAAGAGGGGGGCAAUGCAAAUAGUCUGGGGAGCCAUUUGAUUAGUUGUUCAGGAGACUUAUGGCUUGGGGGUAGAAGCUGUUUAGGAGCCUCUUGGACCUAGACUUGGCACUCUGGUACCGCUUGCCAUGCGGUAGCAGAGAGAAAGACUAGAGUGGCUGGAGUCUGACAAUUUUUAGGGCCUUCCUCUGACGCAGCCUGGUAUAGAGGUCCUGGAUGGCAGGAAGCUUGUCCCCAGUGAUGUACUGGGCCAUACGCAUUACCCUCUGUAGUGGCUUACGGUCGGAGGCCGAGCAGUUACCAUAACAGGCAUUGAUGCAACUAGUCAGGAUGCUCUCGAUGGUGCAGCUGUAGAACCUUUUGAGGAUCUGAGGACCCAUGACAAAUAUUUUGUCUCCUGAGGGGGAAUAGGUUUUGUUUUGCCCUCUUCUCUUAUCUUGGUGUGCUUGGACCAUGUUAGUUUGUUGGUGAUGUGGACACCAAGGAACUUGAAGCUCUCAACCUGCUCCACUGCAGCCCCGGCGAUGAGAAUGGGGGCGUGCUUAGUCCUUUUUUUCCCUGUAGUCCACAAUCAUCCCCUUUGUCUUGAUCACGUUGAUGGAGAGGUUGUUGUCCUGGCACCACACGGCCAGGUCUCUGACCUACUCCCUAUAGGCUGUCUCGUCGUUGAGGGAGAGGUUGUUGUCCUGGCACCUCCCGGCCAGGUCUCUGACCUCCUCCCUAUAGGCUGUCUCGUCGUUGAGGGAGAGGUUGUUGUCCUGGCACCUCCCGGCUAGGUCUCUGAUCUCCUCCCUAUAGGCUGUCUCGUCGUUGAGGGAGAGGUUGUUGUCCUGGCACCUCACGGCCAGGUCUCUGACCUCCUCCCAAUAGGCUGUCUCAUCGUUGAGGGAGAGGUUGUUGUCCUGGCACCUCACGGCCAGGUCUCUGACCUCCUCCCUAUAGGCUGUCUCAUCUGGCACCACACGGCCAGGUCUCUGACCUCCUCCCUAUAGUCUUUCUCAUCGUUGAGGGAGAGGUUGUUGUCCUGGCACCUCACGGCCAGGUCUCUGACCUCCUCCCUAUAGGCUGUCUCGUCGUUGAGGGAGAGGUUGUUGUCCUGGCACCUCACGGCCAGGUCUCUGACCUCCUCCCUAUAGGCUGUCUCGUCGUUGUCGGUGAUCAGGCCUACGGUUCUGGUCUGGGUUGUUUUAUGGGACGCUGCAUAUUUCUGACCGGUCUCAUCAUGUCAAAGCUUUUAAACAUUUAAAAAAUUGGAGUUGUCAGCUGGUGAGCAGAGCCUGGUCCCAGAUCAGUUUGUUCUCUUGAUAACUCCAAUGCUGUCAUUGUCAAGCUAAAUGAGUGACAAGGAGUUGGCAUGACAGCACAGACAGACUGGCACUCAGUCUAGAACUCAGGCUAGCAUGAUCAUAGUUCCCUUCAACAACGAUGACAAAACUCAAUACGAAAGUAAGAUACGAUUUAUCGGCAAAUCAAUGAUUCCUGAAACACAAGAGGCAUAAAAUAUAUAAAAUAUGAACAUAAUGUCCACUCCCAAUAUAGUGCACUACGUAGGAAAUAUGGUACAAUUUGGGACACACCCAAUAAUCAAGUUCAGUCCGUGGUCAUCACCACCACCUAGCACUUCAAGUAACCAAGGCCAUAAUAACCCAAUAUUUAUUUAACCUUUAUUUAACUAGGCAAGUCAGUUAAGAACAAAUUCUUAUUUUCAAUGACGGUCUAGGAACAGUGGGUUUAACUGCCUGUUCAGGGGCAGAAUGACAGAUUUGUACCUUGUCAGCUCGGGGGUUUGAACUUGCAAUCUUCCUGUUACUAGACCAACGCUCUAACCACUAGGCUACCCUGCCACCAAGUAACCAAGGCCAUAAUAACCCCAUAUCAAGUAACCAAGGCCAUAAUAACCCGAUAUCAAGUAACCAAGGCCGUAAUAACCCGAUAUCAAGUAACCAAGGCCAUAAUAACCCGAUAUCAGGUAAGCAUGGCCGUAAUAUGGCCUUCCCCUGGGCCUACCCAACAUGUCAGUAGCUAUUAAAAUGUCUAUGACAUCUUUUUGUCAACGUAAUACAGUAUUUCAAACAAGGAAACACAUUACAUAUCAAUAGACAGUUGCUUCAGUCCAAAGGAGGAAGAGAGUCCAGUAGUAGUCUGCAGUUCACAACCAACCAGCCAAUGGUAAGCCAGCAGCCAAUGGUAAGCCAGCAGCCAAUGGUAAGCCAGCAGCCAAUGGUAAGCCAGCAGCCAAUGGUAAGCCAGCA